rnacentral:rRNA from 1 species
GACGAACGCUGGCGGCGUGCUUAACACAUGCAAGUCGAACGGAAAGGCCCUGCUUUUGUGGGGUGCUCGAGUGGCGAACGGGUGAGUAACACGUGAGUAACCUGCCCUUGACUUUGGGAUAACUUCAGGAAACUGGGGCUAAUACCGGAUAGGAGCUCCUGCUGCAUGGUGGGGGUUGGAAAGUUUCGGCGGUUGGGGAUGGACUCGCGGCUUAUCAGCUUGUUGGUGGGGUAGUGGCUUACCAAGGCUUUGACGGGUAGCCGGCCUGAGAGGGUGACCGGCCACAUUGGGACUGAGAUACGGCCCAGACUCCUACGGGAGGCAGCAGUGGGAAAUAUUGCACAAUGGGCGGAAGCCUGAUGCAGCAACGCCGCGUGCGGGAUGACGGCCUUCGGGUUGUAAACCGCUUUCGCCUGUGACGAAGCGUGAGUGACGGCAAUGGGUAAAGAAGCACCGGCUAACUACGUG